UACAGAGGUGCCGAGCGUUAGGCGGAAUCACUGGGCUUAAAGCGUGUGUAGGCGGGUGCCUAAGUACCUUGUGAAAUCCCAACGGCUCAACCGUGGAACUGCUGGGUAUACUGGGUGCCUUGGGUCAUCUAGGGGCUGCCGGAACAAAUGGUGGAGCGGUGAAAUGCGUAGAUAUCAUUUGGAACGCCACGGCGAAAGCAGGCAGCUGGGGAUGCACCGACGCUGAGACACGAAAGCCAGGGGAGCGAACGGGG
rnacentral:rRNA from 1 species